rnacentral:rRNA from 1 species
ACGGAGGGUGCAAGCGUUAAUCGGAAUUACUGGGCGUAAAGCGCACGUAGGUGGUUUGUUAAGCUAGCUGUGAAAUCCCCGGGCUCAACCUGGGCAUUGCAGUUAGAACUGGCAAGCUAGAGUAGGGUAGAGGGUUGUGGAAUUCCAGGUGUAGCGGGGAAAUGCGUAGAUAUCUGGAGGAACAACGGUGGCGAAGGUGACCCCCUGGACGGAGACUGACACUGAGGGGCGAAAGCGUGGGGAGCAAACAGGA